rnacentral:rRNA from 1 species
CAGGGAUUGCCUUAGUAACGGCGAGUGAAGCGGCAAUAGCUCAAAUUUGAAAGCUGGCGUCUUCGACGUCCGCGUUGUAAUUUGUAGAGGAUGCUUCGGCGAAGACUCCUGCCUAAGUCCCCUGGAACGGGGCGUCAUAGAGGGUGAGAAUCCCGUAUGUGGCGGGCAGUCUAAGCCAUGUGAAGCUCCUUCGACGAGUCGAGUUGUUUGGGAAUGCAGCUCUAAAUGGGAGGUAAAUUUCUUCUAAAGCUAAAUAUUGGCCAGAGACCGAUAGCGCACAAGUAGAGUGAUCGAAAGAUGAAAAGCACUUUGGAAAGAGAGUUAAAAAGUACGUGAAAUUGUUGAAAGGGAAGCGCUUGCAACCAGACUCGCUCGUAGUUGCUCAGCCGGCCUCUUGGCCGGUGUACUCUUCUACGAUCGGGCCAGCAUCAGUUCGGGCGGCAGGAUAAAGGUGUCGGGAAUGUAGCACCCUUCGGGGUGUGUUAUAGCCCGGCGCGGAAUGCUGCCAGCCUGGACUGAGGAUCUCGCUUCGGCAAGGAUGCUGGCGUAAUGGUUGUAAGCGGCCCGUCUUGAAACACGGACCAAGGAGUCUAACAUCUAUGCGAGUGUUUGGGUGUCAAACCCAUGCGCGUAAUGAAAGUGAACGGAGGUGGGAACCCCUCACGGGGUGCACCAUCGACCGAUCCUGAUGUCUUCGGAUGGAUUUGAGUAAGAGCAUAGCUGUUGGGACCCGAAAGAUGGUGAACUAUGCCUGAAUAGGGUGAAGCCAGAGGAAACUCUGGUGGAGGCUCGCAGCGGUUCUGACGUGCAAAUCGAUCGUCAAAUUUGGGUAUAGGGGCGAAAGACUAAUC